ensembl:lincRNA Gm19272 predicted gene, 19272
GUCCAGGUUCUGUACAGUGAGUGGAAGUCACAGGAAUGAUCUACCAAGAACCACUGCAUGUACCACUGUGGUAGAAGUUAAGGAGUCUUCAUAGGAUGCUGGAUGAAGGCUGGAUACUUCUAUAUCAGCAGAAUGCUUUGUUUUAUGGCCUCUUGAUGCUGGAAUCAGCUCCACUUUCCCAAAGAAGAGGAAGAAAAUACUCCUGUCUGAAUCUGUGAUUGCCCUCUGUAGAGUUAAAUGUUCAAAGUGAAGACAACUUUUAAGAACAGAGCAAGAAAGGCAUGUAAUAACCAAAUAUAACUACCACCUUCUCUAAUAUGAGAACCAUGUCUUUAAGCGUAAAGUUGUUCUAGCCUUAGUAUAGAAUAUAGAAAAAUAUGCUUUCUAUCUCAGUGAAUAUAGGUACCAGAUUCUCUUUCUUUCCUCCUUUAAAAUUUGCUUCUUGGUGUGUGUCAUGGUGGGAAUCACUUGUCUAUGACAUACUUCUUCCAGGCUGCCAUUUCCUCAAGUACAGGAUUGUAGAGGGCCUAUGAAGUAAUCAUGAAAGCCACACCCACAUUUGACCAUGAGUGGUGUUAAGUGGAGACCUUGUGAAGACAUGGGCUGCUGUGCCCUGCCCUUGGAGCUUUCAAUUCAGCACAUACAGCUGCUGGUCUGAAAGACUGCACUUCCCUCAUAGUCUCAGAGGUCUGAGGCGGCUCUGGGUACCGACCUUCAGUAACUUCGUGAUUUUAGCCCUGUGUUAGACAGGUGAACGCUCUCUUGGUAUUCUACUACUCAAUACUCUCUAGAAAUUGAGCACAAUUGCACAUAUAGAACAGCUAAUGAAAGCUUAUUAAAUGCAGUUAUGUAGCACAAGCAGGUGUACCAUUAUAGAUUGAUUGCUGGUCAGGUUAGCUUCAUUCAGAGAAGUGUUUUUCUCACUGCAACCUAGACACUGCAGACACUGCAAAAUGUUCUCUUCAGCUAAGAGAAGGUGUCAAAAAGACACAGUAUAAUAGAAAGGACAUGGAGUUAGGCAGUCUGUAUCUCAUCCCACUGCUAUGAAACCCAAUCCUGAGCAAGUGACUAGUACUCUGUCCUCUCUGAACUAUGAUCUCCUCAGUCACAAACUGGGACUCAUGUCAUCAGUCCUGGGUAAUGUCACAAAUCCUUACUGGGAUUAAAGUAUAAAAUGUGAGAAAAUGCAGUACAACACCAUAAAACUGAACUUUAAAAUGAGGUUGAAUUUCAUUCAAUGCAGAAUAAAUCCCAUCUUGAUGACCACAUCCAGAAAUGUAAGUAAUAAGAAAAAUAGAAUGGAUUAAACUCUAAAACAAUGGGUGACCACAUAGGAUAUAUUUUUAGAAAUCCAAUAACCUAGCUUUAAUAUGUAUUCAUAACAUCCAUAUUAUAACACACAUUUAGAAAUUUAGUUGAAGUAUUGUGAUUUACUUUUAUCUGUUGGUUUUGUAUCUUCAUAUCUUAUAGAUAAUAGUUUCCCAGUGAUUUCUCUCACAUUACUUAACCCUCAACAUCACCCAUUACUAAUCUUGCCAUUCUUCCUUCUGUCAAUGGACUUGGCUUCCUACCACUCUGGAGGAAGCAGAGAACUCCAUUGUGGAAUCUUAUGCAAUUUUUCUUACUUCUGGUACUCAUGGGCUUCAUUUCAGCAUAUAUGAUGGCCUAUUCCCUGGAUAAGGAAAUUUACAGGAGAUGGUACAACUAUUCUCUCUUGUAGUAUUUCCUCUAAGUCUUUUCUUUAAUUACCGUAACAAGUACAGUUUGGACAAUCUUAGGGCAGGUAGAAGAUGCAUGAUACCAGCCAGGGCUGUUAUUUGUCUUGGGAUAUGUUGGAGCUACUGUCCAAAACUUUACAAAGUGAAGCUUUCUGGAUGCCUCUUGACAUUUCUGAGAUCUAUGUCCUGACAAUUUCUACUUCGCAAUUCCCCAUACAGCCAACAGGGAAAAGCUAAAAGUCCAAGCUGCUAAUGAUUGUACCCUUACCACAUGUAAGAUUAUGGGAGCACUGGGGUAAAUUAGAGAAUUGGAUAUUUAGAAUAUAGGGUAACAUGUGACAAUGGGUCAGUGUUAUUUAUCACAAAGAUCAUAAUGUGUGAAUAAAUGUAUACAAUGAAUUAAAAACAACUUGGUAGUGCUCUUUAAACAUGCUCCUAAGAUAUCUCACACCAACUGUGCAUUCUCCUUUAAGAGCCCAGCAAAAUUUUCUCUACUUUG